GGCCCCGAUGGAAGCAGCUCAACGGUUAGAGCCGGCCGCUCAUAACAGUCUGGUUGGAGGUUCGAGUUCUGCCGGGCCCACCC
rnacentral:tRNA from 1 species